CGCAUCCCCAUUCCCAUCACUGUAACCAGUCCCAGGCUCGGUUCUUUUGCCCUCUCCAGGCCUUUCCGCUAUUGUCACCAGAGGCUGGAGCUCCUGCGCCUGCUGUUGUAUUUUGCAAUUCCCAACCCUGGCCCGGCAACCUGCCUAGAGUCCUCUGCCUCUUUUGCGAGGCCUCCUCUCCAGACUGCUUCCUAAGCUCUCCCGCCCCCUACCUAACUAGAACCGAGGAGCAAACAAACUUGGAAGUGGAUGAAGUCAGAGUUAUGGCGGGAGGAAAGUGGUUGUCCACUGCUGCCACCUUUGGGCUCCAGGUGGUGGCCUGAGUCCCUUCCGCGGACUGGGAUGAGAGAUGUGGUGUUGACUCCACCUGUUACCUGCCAUGGAAACCUUACCCAGCCAUGUUGGAGCAAAAGGCAAACUCCGUGGCCCUUGAUAGGCAGAUCUUGUUUUGUGUACAGCUCUGAUUUUAAAUAUUAAAUCUCAGUUGAAAAGUA
rnacentral:sRNA from 1 species